UACGUAGGCAGCGAGCGUUGUUCGGAGUUACUGGGCGUAAAGGGCGCGUAGGCGGCGUAACAAGUCACUUGUGAAAUCUCCGGGCUUAACCCGGAGCGGCCAAGUGAUACUGUUGUGCUAGAGUGCGGAAGGGGCUACUGGAAUUCUCGGUGUAGCGGUGAAAUGCGUAGAUAUCCGGAGGAACACCGGUGGCGAAGGCGGCUUCCUGGACCGACACUGACGCUGAGGCGCGAAAGCUAGGGGAGCAAACGGG
rnacentral:rRNA from 1 species